GACGAACGCUGGCGGCGUGCCUAAUACAUGCAAGUCGAACGCAGUUGCGAACGGGUGAGUCACGCGUAGGUAACUGCCUGGUAGCGGGGGAUAACUAUUGGAAACGAUAGCUAAUACCGCAUACUAUCAGAUGGACCUGCGUUGUAUUAGCUAGUUGGUGAGGUAACGGCUCCCCAAGGCAACGAUACAUCACCGACCUGGAAGGGGGAUCGGGCAAAAUGGGACUGAGACACGGCCCAGACUCCUACGGGAGGCAGCAGUAGGGAAUCUUCGGAAAUGGGGGGAACCCUGACCGAGCAACGCCGCGGGAGUGAAGAAGGGUUUCGGAUCGGAAAGCUCUGUUGUUAAGGAAGCGGUACUUAACCAGAAAGGGACGGCUAACUACGUGCCAGCAGCCGCGGUAAUUC
rnacentral:rRNA from 1 species